UACGUAGGGCGCAAGCGUUGUCCGGAAUUAUUGGGCGUAAAGAGCUCGUAGGUGGUUUGUUACGUCUGCUGUGAAAACCUAGGGCUUAACCCUGGGCCUGCAGUGGAUACGGGCAGACUAGAGGUAGGUAGGGGAGAAUGGAAUUCCCGGUGUAGCGGUGAAAUGCGCAGAUAUCAGGAGGAACACCGAUGGCGAAGGCAGGUCUCUGGGCAGUAACUGACGCUGAGGAGCGAAAGCGUGGGAGCGAACAGG
rnacentral:rRNA from 1 species